rnacentral:rRNA from 1 species
AAUGAACGUUGGCGGCGUGGAUUAGGCAUGCAAGUCGAGCGAGAACCCCGCAAGGGGGGACAGCGGCGGAAGGGACAGUAAUGUGUAGAUUAUCUGCCCUCAGGUCCGGGAUAGCUGCGGGAAACUGCAGGUAAUACCGGAUAACAUCUCCGGAUCAAAGGUGUGAUUCCGCCUGAGGAUGAGUCUGCAUCCUAUUAGCUAGUUGGUGGGGUAAUGGCCUACCAAGGCAUUGAUGGGUAGCAGGUGUGAGAGCAGGACCUGCGUCAUUGGGACUGAGACACUGCUGAGACACAUACAGGUGGCUGCAGUCGAGAAGCUGCAGCAAUGGGCGAAAGCCUGACCGAGCGACGCCGCGUGUGGGAUGAAGGCCUUCGCGUUAUAAACCACUGUCAGAGGGGAUGAAAUGCAGGUGGGUUCUCCCAUCUGUUUGACAUAGCCUCAGAGGAAGGACGGGCUAAGUUCGUG